AACGAACGCUGGCGGCAUGCCUAACACAUGCAAGUCGAACGAGACCUUCGGGUCUAGUGGCGCACGGGUGCGUAACGCGUGGGAACCUGCCCUUAGGUUCGGAAUAACUCCCCGACAGGGGUGCUAAUACCGGAUAAUGUCUUCGGACCAAAGAUUUAUCGCCUUUGGAUGGGCCCGCGUUGGAUUAGCUAGUUGGUAGGGUAAAAGCCUACCAAGGCGACGAUCCAUAGCUGGUCUGAGAGGAUGAUCAGCCACACUGGGACUGAGACACGGCCCAGACUCUUACGGGAGGCAGCAGUGGGGAAUAUUGGACAAUCGGCGAAAGCCUGAUCCAGCAAUGCCGCGUGAGUGAUGAAGGCCUUAGGGUUGUAAAGCUCUUUUAACCGGGAUGAUAAUGACAGUACCGGGAGAAUAAGCCCCGGCUAACUCCGUG
rnacentral:rRNA from 1 species